CAGUUGUAUAUUCUUCCCCCACAAGAUUGCCACAUUUUUACCACCGCUCAAAAUAUCUUCUCUCUUUUUGAUUAUCUUUCUUCGUCGGUUUCCCUUACCACUGCUUCUAACAGUCUCUCCCUCUCCGAUUCAUUCUCUCUUCAUAUGAAAUUAGCCUUUUUACCACCAUCGCCAUCAAGAGAAGCCAGUGUUCCGUACCAAUCUGCAAGUUAUCUUUUACUUUAUUUAUUCCGGUUAUGUCGCUACUCUCCGCCUCCUUCUUUUCACUCCAUGUUUGAUGCUUCUAUUUCCCACCACCGCUUCAAUUUCAUCAGCUCAAAGUUUCAACGUCAAAAUGGAACGCUUCCUUCUUUUCUUACAGCUGUGGUGGCUGGAUGUCAUUUCUGAAAGGUUUGUAGAUUUCAAAGUGGAAUAGAUAACAAAUUAUAGAGUGGCUUGUUGGUUGAUGCACUAAAAGCUAUUGGAGUUGUAACUUUCUACUGUCCAUUUGAAUUUAGUCACCUUCCCAAAUGAAAGGUUAGUAGUAAAAAUCUAAGCUUAGGAGGAUCUCUGGAUUUCUUUCUGCUGACAAGGCAAAAGAGUCGUUACCAAUGGACAGUGUGGUCUUGGAAUUACCCAAUGAAUGCUUUACAUUUUCACGCACACCAACAUACAAGAUGACAAAAAAAUACAAGGGACCAAAUGUAGACUUCCGGUGUAAAAAGGGAAUUGUUGUGUUCAAUGGUGGCCAAAAAUAAUAAUCGGAAAUAGGUAACUACAAGCUCGUGUUCAUUUUUUUUGGUGUGUUUGUUUGUGAUUCGAAGAACAAAGAAGGAAAGAUCAAAUGUUACUGUUAAAACAUGUGAUUUAGUUUUCACCCGUUUAUAUCAUUGCAAUUUAGCUGCAUAUCAGGUGUUUGAAGAAAUGUCUAAAAGAAAGUUUAAUGCUAGCUGUGUAGCUUCACCUCUCGCUUGGUAUCAAUUUCUAUGCUGUUUACAAUUGGGUUGCGUAAUUUCUUUCUUUAAUUUUAUAAUUUCUCUCUUUCAUAGUGCUGUACUGAUCUUGGAAGACAUUUUUUGGGGUGAAAGAGAAAAGCCACGUCAUCAAGAUUACAAGUUUCAUGGAGUUGCAGAUGAUACAGGAUUACAUGUAUUCUGCAGUUGCAAAUGAUACAAGUGUUCUUUAAGAAGAUUUAAUGACAAAUUAUCCAUUGUACAAAAUGAUAUAUCAUUAUCAACUGAAGGAUUAAAGCGAUGUUUACUUGAAGAGGGCACAAGUGAAGUAGUUGUACAAGACUAUCAGCAGAUUAUGCUUAUAGAAUUUUCAGAAAUACAAGAGCAAGGCAGAGUUCUUUGUGAAGAUCGUUCAAGUUUGAUCAAAACCUUGUGCCAGCUAGAGGUUGUGUGAGAAAACACUAGCCUUAAUACAUGGUGAUCUCCAUAAGGUUAAUGUCUCCUAUUUGCAUGAUAAUCCAUGAAAACAUGAAACAAGAGGAAGGAGAUGUUGUAGCUUGGGGUAAUUAUUACGAACUACAUGGUUCGGUACAAAGUCAAAAUUAUAAAUCUAUUUUACUUUUAUGCAUCAAGGCUUGCCAUGGUCAUUGUUAAGGAUAGAAAAGACUCGAAACUAUGUAAAUAUGAAGAUAAAAAGCCUAUUUUAAUUCGUAGUAUAUGUGUAAGUUUCCCCAUUCAUAAGGGCUAAAAGCGGUAAAUAGCAAUGUACUUUUAAUUA